AUUUAUAUGGCAGAUCAAUGCAUUAGAAUUAGAAUCUA
rnacentral:tRNA from 1 species